AAGAGGUGAAUCCUUCAAUGGUAGAUUUUACAUUCUUUAGUAAAUGGUCUGGUGCAAUGCAGAUUGCAUUAAGACGGGCAGCGAUGUCAUAUAUGAAAACUGUGGACGAUUCUUACAUUGGGAGCUCUGAUGAGGAUUCUUUUCUGGUUGCUCAAUAUCACUACCGAUUGUUAUCAUAUUACUUAUACAAGCAAGGAAAGUAACUACUUGAAAGGAGCAUUCCAUGUAUAUAGACAAUGUUUUCCCUCUUUACAGGUGAUGUAUUAUUUAAAAGAAAUAGAAAUGAUUCCCCUGGGCCGCUUAUGUUUUAUUGAACUCUUGAUUAACAUUUUUUAUGUACAGUUUGUAUGCGUAUAUAAUCCUAUAUAUGCUUAUGUAUGCCGCAAAUAUAUACUUCUGGAAGCACUGCAGAAUCAACUACUCCUUCAUAUUUGGUUUUAAUCAAGGAACUGAAUUAAGCUACUAGGAUGUAUUCCUCUUUAGCACGGGUCUUGCAGUAUAUGCCCAUAUACCACCAACAAUCCACUACCAAUUCGGGUUCCAGGUUUGUUACUUUCUUUAAAAUUAUUUGUUCUAGACCAAAUAUACAACAUAUUAUUCUUUUAUUAUUAUUGUUAUAUGUAUUCUCCUAUUUACAUAUAUAAAUGUAGGUAAUAAAGUUGCUACAAAUCAAGACCAUAAUAUGAAGAUGCAUAUAAAAGACUUAUAAGAAAGUCGAACAUCGUCAAGAAGAAUUUGCAUAUGAUGAAGAAGGUUUGGAACCUGUUCGAAAUAAUGAAUCAUAAGUUAAAGAGUUUGUUAGGGUCAAAAUGAUGUGUCAAACUAAAAAAUAGAAAUUUGAACAUGAAUUCGAAUUCUGAUUCGAACUCGAAUUCUGAUUCGAACUCGAAUUCUGAUUCGAACUCGAAUUCAGAUUUGUAUACUGGUGAUACCACAAAAUCGAAGAGCAAAAGGCGAACGCCAGCAUGGUGUGAUAGAAUACUGUGGUAUGGGGAGGGGAUCCAUCAGAAGUCAUAUACUCGGUGGGAGUCACGGUUCUCUGACCACCGGCCCGUUUGUGCAAUGUUUUUAAUAUUUUUACAUAACCAAAGGAGUUGAGAAGACCGAUUGUGGCUGCUUGCGAGUUUUGACCAGUCAAUUUUGUGGAUGAAAUGCCUUACAUUUUAAAAGACGACAAAUAUGAGACAAAGUACAAGACUGACUUAAAAGAGGGAACUCAAUUUACUAAGGGAAAGGUUUUAGUAACUCGAAGGAUAUGCAUCUUCAAAGGGACUCGACUAUCUUUAAAUUGUGUAUCCACUGUAUCACUAAUUUAUGUAACAUGAGACUUUGUAUUUUAUUUUAUUUGUACACUUGAUAUUUAUCUUAAUAGUUUUCUCCAA